ensembl:lncRNA
UUUAGGUCUUUAGAAAAUCGAACAAUAUAUAAGAGUUUCAUGUCCCAUUGAGAAGAGAAAGUUCAGGGGGCAGAGUUUAUCACAUAUUAGUGGCGGUGAGGUAAUAUCAUCUGGUUGGUGGUGAGGUAAUACCAUCUAUCAUCUAGUUGGCGGUGAGGUAAUACCAUCUAUCAUCUAGUUGGCGGUGAGGUAAUACCAUCUAUCAUCUAGUUGGCGGUGAGGUAAUACCAUCUAUCAUCUAGUUGGCGGUGAGGUAAUACCAUCUAGUUGGCGGUGAGGUAAUACCAUCUAGUUGGCGGUGAGGUAAUACCAUCUAUCAUGUAGUUGGCGGUGAGGUAAUACCAUCUAUCAUCUAGUUGGCGGUGAGGUAAUACCAUCUAUCAUCUAGUUGGCGGUGAGGUAAUGCCAUCUAUCAUCUAGUUGGCGGUGAGGUAAUACCAUCUAUCAUCUAGUUGGCGGUGAGGUAAUAUCAUCUAUUUGAGGUAAGUUACUGCAACUCUGCCACGUUUGAAAGAAAUGGGAAUGAGAACUUGUAACGUUGCAUGGGUCAUUGUGAUAAGUACUUGGUAUCGUUGUGAUGAUGAUAAGUACUAGGUAUCGUUGUGAUGGGGAUAAGUACUAGGUAUCGUUGUGAUGGGGAUAAGUACUAGGAAUCGUUGUGAUGGGGAUAAGUACUAGGAAUCGUUGUGAUGGGGAUAAGUACUAGGUAUCGUUGUGAUGGGGAUAAGUACUAGGUAUCGUUGUGAUGGGGAUAAGUACUAGGAAUCGUUGUGAUGGGGAUAAGUACUAGGAAUCGUUGUGAUGGGGAUAAGUACCAGGUAUCAUUGGUAUAGUGCUAUGUACUAGGUAUCAUGGUGAUGGGGAUAUGUACUAGGUAUUGAUGUGUAUUAUUCUAGAGAGUCUCUGGUCAGAGGUAGAGGCCACUCAUUUUGACACCUAGAGAGCCUCUGGUCAGAGGUAGAGGCCACUCGUUUUGACACCUAGAGAGCCUCUGACCAGAGGUAGAAGCCACUCGUUUUGACACCUAGAGAGCCUCUGGUCAGAGGUAGAAGCCACUCGUUUUGACACCUAGAGAGCCUCUGACCAGCGGUAGAAGCCACUCGUUUUGACACCUAGAGAGCCUCUGACCAGCGGUAGAGGCCACUCGUUUUGACAGGAGCCACAUAGAGAACCUCUAUAUCGGACAGCGUGUCAUUUGAAAUGAAAACGUAGAUCUAACGACAACCAGGGUUUGGCAAGGGAUACGUCUUUUAAUUUAGACCGUGACGAACCUAACCGCGGAAAUUCUAGUGAAGAGAUGUAUUUGCACACACACUUCAUGCAUACAACACCAGAAGACGGUACACUGUACACACGGACGAGUGUUACACAACAGGGAAAAACAACUUCCAUAAUCCAGUUUUUUUUAUUUGGAAUGAACUUGGGUUUUCUUUUUUUGUGUUCUAUUUCUACAGGUUUUGGUUUUCCGAUGCACUAUGUUUUUUAUUACGUCGUUUUGCCACUUCCUGUUAGGCACUUUUGAAGUUCUGCACUUCGAAAAACAUGUUUUAAUUCAAUAAUGCACCCAACCCCACCCCACAGUGCAAUGCUCCUAUUGAAAAGAUGAAUACUGGAGGUGGAAGGUAUGACGCAAAGGAUUGUUAAAGUGAAACAAGCAAAUUCACAGCAUCAUUUCAUACCUCUUUUUUUUUUUAAAUUUUUUUAGAGAAUAUCAGAGAGAAUGUGACAUUUCUGGGAUUUUUGUUUCUUGAGGAAGUUUACGGUGUAAUUCCUGAUAUUAAGGAAACCUAUUUUCUUCCUCUGACUGAAGAUUGUUUGAUGUUAUGCCCUUAAACACAGAUCUAGAAUCAGCUUACCUGCAAUCAUAACCUUGAAUAUCAAUUGGAUGGAUGGGGGAGGGGGGGUUCAGUUAUAGCUGAACUCAGAUCAGUGUCUAUGGGUUGAGUGGAGCUUAUGGAUCCCAAACGUCUGGUAGUGUGACCACUGACUGCAGUUGUGUGAGGGAAGAGACAUAUAUGUCCAAUGGUUAUAUUCUCAUCGGAGUCUGGUAGCAGCUUGUUCUGUGGAACCAUCCAUUUCCCCUUGUGGAGUUGAACCAACUGGGUUGAGCUAAACUACAUCGGAAUAGUAGGAUUUUUAGUUUGUUUGGUAGCGAAACAAAGUGAAUGUGGACGAUGGGUUUUAAAAUAUUAUUUUUUUACUUUUCUAAAAGUCUGAAGUGUCUUUUUUGGAAGGUUAUCUUUAUUUUUUAUUUAUUUUUAUUUUACCUUUAUUUAACUAGGCAAGUCAGUUAAGAACCAAUUCUUAUUUUCAAUGACGGCCUAGCAACAGUGGGUUAACUGCCUGUUCAAGGGCAGAACGACAGAUUUGUACCUUGUCAGCUCGGGGUUUGAACUUGCAACCUUCCGGUUACUAGUCCAACGCUCUAACCACUAGGCUACCCUGCCGCAGCAGCAGCAGGAUUUCCUCAUUUUGGGGGGGUGGCUGGCUUCUUCAUUUGCUAGCUGUGAGAGAACCCUUGUCAUUCCACCUGUUUAUAUAGCAAGUCAUUUCCUUAUGGUUCUAUUGUCCUACCUGGUGUGGUGUCUCGGUAGGUUGAGCCUGUGAGGUUGUGAGCCAUGACUUUAUGCAAUGUCUUACCAUAUUAUAUGUCCAACUGCAAUGAGGAUGAUUUAUGGUCUGCAAUGAGGAUGAUUUAUGGUCUGCAAUGAGGAUGAUUUAUGGUCUGCAAUGAGGAUGAUUUAUGGUCUGCAAUGAUGAGGAUGAUUUAUGGUCUGCAAUGAUGAGGAUGAUUUAUGGUCUGCAAUGAUGAGGAUGAUUCAUGGUCUGCAGUGAUGAGGAUGAUUUAUGGUCUGCAAUGAUGAGGAUGAUUCAUGGUCUGCAGUGAUGAGGAUGAUUUAUGGUCUGCAAUGAUGAGGAUGAUUUAUGGUCUGCAGUGAUGAGGAUGAUUUAUGGUCUGCAAUGAUGAGGAUGAUUUAUGGUCUGCAAUGAUGAGGAUGAUUUAUGGUCUGCAAUGAUGAGGAUGAUUUAUGGUCUGCAAUGAUGAGGAUGAUUUAUGGUCUGCAAUGAUGAGGAUGAUUCAUGGUCUGCAAUGAUGAGGAUGAUUCAUGGUCUGCAAUGAUGAGGAUGAUUCAUGGUCUGCAAUGAUGAGGA